GUUUUAAUAGUUUAAUUAAAAUAUUAAAUUGCAAGUUUAAUGAUACCUUAAGUUUAAAACU
rnacentral:tRNA from 1 species